UACGUAGGGGGCUAGCGUUGUCCGGAAUCAUUGGGCGUAAAGAGCGUGUAGGCGGCCCGGUAAGUCCGCUGUGAAAGUCCAGGGCUCAACCCUGGGAUGCCGGUGGAUACUGUCGGGCUCGAGUCCGGAAGAGGCGAGUGGAAUUCCCGGUGUAGCGGUGAAAUGCGCAGAUAUCGGGAGGAACACCAAUGGCGAAGGCAGCUCGCUGGGACGUGACUGACGCUGAGACGCGAAAGCGUGGGGAGCAAACAGG
rnacentral:rRNA from 1 species